rnacentral:rRNA from 1 species
AACGAACGCUGGCGGCGCGUCUUAAGCAUGCAAGUCGGACGGCAAGGGUUGUGCUUGCACAACUCCUAGAGUGGCGGACUGGUGAGUAACGCGUGGGUGACCUGCCCUCGAGAUGGGGAUAGCCAUUAGAAAUAGUGGAUAAUACCGAAUACGCUCAUGACCCUGUGGGGAUAUGAGGAAAACAGGCUACGGCCUGGCUCGAGGAUGGGCCCGCGUCCCAUUAGCUAGUUGGUGAGGUAACGGCCCACCAAGGCGACGAUGGGUAUCCGGCCUGAGAGGGUGUACGGACACAUUGGGACUGAGAUACGGCCCAA